rnacentral:rRNA from 1 species
UACGUAGGGUGGCGAGCGUUGUUCCGGAAUUACUGGGUGUAAAGGGAGCGUAGGCGGGAGAUCAAGUUAGAAUGUGAAAGUUUUGCGGACCUUAACCGCAAACGUGCAUCUAAAACUGGUUUUCUUGAGUGAGGUAGAGGUAGGCGGAAUUCCUAGUGUAGCGGUGAAAUGCGUAGAUAUUAGGAGGAACACCAGUGGCGAAGGCGGCCUACUGGGCCUUAACUGACGCUGAGGCUACGAAAGGCGUGGGGAGCAAACAGG